rnacentral:rRNA from 1 species
AACGGCCAUACCACGUUAAAAACACCAGUUCUCGUCCCAUCACAGAAGUUAAGCAACAUUGGGCGUGGUUAGCAUUACUUGGAUUGGUGACCACUUGGGAACACCAUGGGCCGCUG